rnacentral:rRNA from 1 species
CGCGUAGGUGGUUAAUUAAGUCAAAUGUGAAAUCCCCCGAGCUUAACUUGGGAAUUGCAUUCGAUACUGGUUAGCUAGAGUAUGGGAGAGGAUGGUAGAAUUCCAGGUGUAGCGGUGAAAUGCGUAGAGAUCUGGAGGAAUACCGAUGGCGAAGGCAGCCAUCUGGCCUAAUACUGACACUGAGGUGCGAAAGCAUGGGGAGCAAACA